AUGCAAGUCGAACGGAUAUAAGUCUUCGGACUUAUGUUAGUGGCGGACGGGUGAGUAACACGUGGAUAACCUGCCGAUAAUCGGGGAAUAACAGAUAGAAAUAUCUGCUAAAACCGCAUAAGCUCACACCGGGGCAUCUCGGAGGGAGAAAAUAUUUAUAGAUUAUCAAGGGGUCCGCGUCUGAUUAGCUAGUUGGCGGGGUAAAAGCCCACCAAGGCGACGAUCAGUAGCCGGCCUGAGAGGGCGAACGGCCACAUUGGGACUGAGACACGGCCCAAACUCCUACGGGAGGCAGCAGUGGGGAAUAUUGCGCAAUGGGCGGAAGCCUGACGCAGCAACGCCGCGUGAAGGAAGAAGGUCCUCUGGAUUGUAAACUUCUAUCGAUAGGGAAGAAGAUGACAGUACCUAAGUAAGAAGCACCGGCUAACUACGUGCCAGCAGCCGCGGUAAUACUAGGGUGCAAGCGUUAUCCGGAAUUACUGGGCGUAAAGGGUGAGUAGGCGGCAAUUUAAGUCAUAUGUGAAAAUCCAGGGCUUAACCCUGGACUUGCAUAAGAAACUGGGUAGCUGGAGUGCAGGAGAGGCAAGCGGAAUUCCUAGUGUAGCGGUGAAAUGCGUAGAUAUUAGGAAGAACACCGGUGGCGAAGGCGGCUUGCUGGACUGUAACUGACGCUGAGUCACGAAAGCGUGGGGAGCGAACAGGAUUAGAUACCCUGGUAGUCCACGCUGUAAACGAUGAAUGCUAGGUGUCGGGUGGAGAC
rnacentral:rRNA from 2 species